rnacentral:rRNA from 1 species
AAAACUUUCAACAACGGAUCUCUUGGUUCUGGCAUCGAUGAAGAACGCAGCGAAAUGCGAUAAGUAAUGUGAAUUGCAGAAUUCAGUGAAUCAUCGAAUCUUUGAACGCACAUUGCACCUUUUGGUAUUCCGAAAGGUAUGCCUGUCCGAGCGUCAUU